UACGUAGGGGGCUAGCGUUGUCCGGAAUCAUUGGGCGUAAAGAGCGUGUAGGCGGCCCGGUAAGUCCGCUGUGAAAGUCGGGGGCUCAACCCUCGAAUGCCGGUGGAUACUGUCGGGCUAGAGUGCGGAAGAGGCGAGUGGAAUUCCUGGUGUAGCGGUGAAAUGCGCAGAUAUCAGGAGGAACAUCAGUGGCGAAGGCGGCCUUCUGGUCCAGUACUGACACUCAAGUGCGAAAGCGUGGGGAGCAAACAGG
rnacentral:rRNA from 1 species